rnacentral:lncRNA from 1 species
AGUUCAAAAUUAUGACAUUCCUCAUAAGAAAAAUGUCCGUAACCGUAGGUUGAAAUUAUAGCAUUCUGCCCAGUAUAAUUAAUUUAUGACAUCCUGUCCAAAUAAAAGCAUCUUAGAUUAAAAUUAUAACAUCCAACAGUAACCGUAAGUCGAAAUUAUGCCAUCGUGGGAAAAAAUUAUGAUAUUAUAGUUCAAAAUCAAGAUGUGUUAAAGUAAACAUUCUUGAACACAAAGUUAGAAAGUUCAAUUCCAAAUAAAAUAUUUCAUGUGUAAUAAUUAUAGAAAAAGGAUCGUAGCGAAUGCGAUCAUACAAACAAAAAGUGAAGGAUAAACAACAGAGGGCAACAUCGACUCUACGCCUCGCCCACUCUGCGUUCCUAAUCAUUGAAGAGAAUGCAUGAGGACGAGAAAGAGACGCUCUCACACCCAACAACCGAUGGUGGCGGGUGAAGGCCACGUCUGAAUCACAUCAAUUGGCCAUUGAGGGCCAUGAGGAAGAGUCCUCUCGAUGGUGACGACCGCAGUCCCCUCCAAAAGCGACUGCAUGCUCUGGUGGCCAUCUCUCUCGGAAGCACGUACCCCAUAGAAACACCAUUAGAGACUCUCAUUGAAGUUAUGCCCACUCUUUCGGAUUGGCGUCGAUCCGAUCCCUCAUGGCCGCGGAUCCGUAAUUUUUCCAAGCGAGAUGACCGUUUCCAAUACCUCUCUAGUCAAGCUAGAAUCUACAAGAUGACUCCAUUCUCUCGGACGAUAGGCGACAGCUCCGAUCGAAAAGAUGGCCUCAUCCGCUCGUGAAGGAAACAUCCACUGCACGCCUGCAAUGAAAGGAGCCAGGCCAUCGCACCAUAGCGCAUAAGAAGUAAACCUCCACUUUGAACAGAGGUGAGGCAGAGGUCUCCUCCCUAUACAAAGAGGAGCCAAAUUCAAGCGCCCUAUAACCAUCAUAAUUAACUAGAGACACAUGUCGACUGAGGGUU